UGUUGGAAAGAGCAGGCUCGAUUAAUUACGUGUUCUCUUUACAAGUAUUUCUCUAAUGGUCAUCUUUUGGUUUCUGCAGAAUAAAAUCUGAAUCUGAAGAGUGAAAUCACUGCAUUUGCUGACUCAGAAAUUCUCAAUUAUUUCACCCCGUGCAUCCACAGUCAGCAGCAGCAGGCGCUGGCUCUCCGUCCGGCCUUUACCUCCUUGUUAGCUCACGCAAACGCGUCCUUGUGCUCCAGAAAUGGGCAUUUCAGCGUCCUGUGAAGUGUUCCUGGGUUCCAAGCUUUGUCUUUUGAACUGGAAGAUAUUAAGAAACCCAAGGGUCUGAAGCUACUCAGCGUGUCACUUCUAUUUAAAUAAGAGGCACUCUUCUUGCAGCAGAGAGCAGCGGGAGCCCUUCAAGGGAAGCGGUUCCGGUGCUGAGCAUCCUAGAAAAUCCCAUCCCGAGGAGCAGGGCAGUGCGAUUGUUCUCAGUGACUUCACCUAAAGCACCCGCGGUGCUUUAACUACAGGGAAGUAUACGUUUUUUGGGCCACGUUACCGAGCUGGCUACAAAUCCAGAGUAUUUCCAUCAGCAUCAGUGCUCGGAUGUGCAAUGGUGCCUCCGAGCUGGAUGUCCCAUGCAGCGAAGGGAAGGCAGAAUAUAGAGUUGCCAUCGCUUCCUGCCCCGAACGCCAUGGGAGAAAGGCCAGUUUUGAUCAGCGCCAUCCGUCCGGCGAUGUGGGGCCGGCUCAGCUUUCGGGGAUGAAAGACGGCUGUCAUCCGAAGCGCCAUGUGAGAAACCAGUGUCUGCUCUCGCAUGGCCUUUGGGGGAAGGGAGGCAGCGAGCGCUUUGCAUACAGGAAAAUGUCUGCUCGGGGGGUAUUUGAUUUCACUAAACAAAAUAUUAUCCGACCUCCUUUGCAUGGCUUUCAUACCAUAAUGGGGUUAAAACGAACAGCCAAAUGCAAAUGGUUACUUUUCUUGUUCCCUCUGUGUUCUCAUGCCCUCCACCAACCUUAGCCAUAAUAUCCUUUUUUUCUUAAAGAAAUAUAUGCAAGGAAAUUAAAAAGACAUCUCACUUUGGCUAGCAAUAAAUAGCGUGGAAUUCAGUCAAAUCCUAACGAUUAGAUACUGUUUAUUUCUCCUAGAAAUACUUCUCAGGCUGAAUGUGUGACUUGAAACGAGCGGUUUUGGUUCCAAAUUUUAAAUUCAUGUGUAUGUCAGGAAAACAUUUGCAGGAUUUGAUGAAAGCUGUUGCUACUUGAAACAAUAUUUGUUCUUGCAGCCUGUGUGUUGUAAUUGCAUGUGCAAUUGGAGGAGAGUAGCAGGAGUUCUCUGAGCAUGAACUUACUUUUCACCUUUCAGAGGAAUAUAAAUAAAUAAGAAAGGAAGUAUUUAAUGUGGUAUAUUUAAAUUAGCUCUCUUAAUUGGAAAACAGCUCCUGUUUUUUAGUCUCCCAUGUGGCUUCUUUGGUCUUUAUUAGUCUUCUCAUCACUUCAGAGCUCUGAAAUAUGAGUGAUUUUUGUAUAUGCAGAAGAAGGAUUUUGUAAUCUUCCAUUUUUUUCUGUUUUGCCUGAAUCUAUCAAACUUUUUUUUCAAUGAAGUGAAAGGGAAAACAGCUUGAAGUGGAUUUUUCCUGUUUCACAAGAUGUGCUCCUUGCUCAAGUUCUGCAGAACUUGCUAGUUCAAGCCAAACUAGGAAAUAUUUUGGAUAUUUUAUGUUCAUUAAUCUGUGAUGUUUUGGGAUUUGGUGCUUCCAUGGUGUGUGUUGGACAUAAGCCUGGGUAAAAAUGCCCUGGAAAUGGGUGCGCCAGGCAGGUGAGGUUCUGGCAGCCCUUUUCUGGUCUGCACCAGCAGCUUCUGUCCUGGGCCAGUUUUCACCCAGGGAGGUUCCAGGGUUUGUCUCCCUCAGAUCAGACCCGGGUUUGUCUGAAGAUGCAGUCUGCAGGAGGGUCACCCUUAGAGAACACAGACACUCGAGGUUUGGAAAUUCACUGUUAAUUCACUGCCUGCUUGCCAAGGCAGUGGUUUUGUUAUUUUUUGUGCUGUGCUUUAAUGAUGAUCUUGCCCUCUGUGGAACUCCGCUGUUUGUUGAGAUUUGGAAGUGAAAUGGCAUAUGCUGGCCUUUGUGAUUUACAUUGUCUUUGGCAGAAGGCUUAUUCAAAGCUGCUGAGAGUAUUUGGAAGCAUCAUCUGGUCCAGAGUGCGCCUGCAUUUCUCACCCAUGUUCUUUUAUCAGCAGCAGAGUGCUCUUUGGGGCAGUGCUGCGGAGCGACUCUGCCGAAUUGUUUCUGUUGGCAAUUCAAAGACCUGGGGUUUUGUUUGGGUUUUAGUGUGUUCUUCUGUCAGCCAACAUCUGCUUGGAUGUUUUCUGUUAGCAUCCCUUUAAUUUGGGGAUAUGCUUUGCUCAAUUGCAACUCUGAAGUUAUAGGAAGAUAUUUUGACCAAACCUGUUCUACCUUACGCUAAUGGACAUGCAGAAUAAAUGCAUGCUGUGACCGAUGCUGGUAGCUUGUCUUUGGUGAAGAGGCCAUGAUUUAAAAGUUUCCAGUUCCCUUGGUUCGACAAGACUCCGAUCUCUUGACCAUCGAAGCACGUUGCCAGGCUUGCCUGCUCACCUGGGCUGCCUAAUGAAGGAGAGAUGGAAGGAAGAACGCACCUACGGGUCAGGAACGGGAAGUGGUAGUCACUGAUAGCUGAUUCAUGAAAUACUUCACAUUUGUGUAAACCAAAAAAAAUAAUAAUUAAACGCAUGUUUUUGUACACGUGCCAAAAGCGUGGGACAGCUAUAGACUAAAAUGAACGCCCUGAUCUGGCGUUAGGAACGCGGUGCGGUUCAGUUCUCAUGUGCGCAUGAUGAACAGCAGAGAAGCAUACCGUACCACGAAGGAGCGCAGCAGUGCCAGCUCGUCAGUUGUUUUGUGUUUAUAAGCAGAUGCUUAUUCUUUAAUGUAGGGAACGGUCGGUAUAUUACCCACAGUG